ACUCAAAGGAAUAGACGGGGGCCCGCACAAGCAGCGGAGCGUGUGGUUUAAUUCGAUGCAACGCGCAGAACCUUACCUGGGCUUGACAUGCACGUGGUACCGAGUCGAAAGAUGAGGGACCCGCGAGGGAGCGUGCACAGAUGCUGCAUGGCUGUCGUCAGCUCGUGCCGUGAGGUGUUGGGUUAAGUCCCGCAACGAGCGCAACCCCCGCCGUCAGUUGCCUUUUCUGGCGGGACCGCCGGUACAAACCGGAGGAAGGUGGGGAUGACGUCAAGUCAGCACGGCUCUUACGUCCAGGGCGACACACACGCUACAAUGGCCGGUACAACGGGCCGCGACGCCGCGAGGCUGAGCCAAUCCCACCAAAGCCGGCCCCAGUCCGGAUCGCAGGCUGCAACCCGCCUGCGUGAAGUCGGAGUUGCUAGUAACCGCGGGUCAGCACACCGCGGUGAAUACGUUCCCGGGCCUUGUACACACCGCCCGU
rnacentral:rRNA from 1 species